rnacentral:SRP_RNA from 1 species
GCCAGGUGUUGUGACGGGCGCCUGUAAUCCCAGCUACUUGGGAGGCUGAGGUGGGAGAAUCACCUAAGCCCAGGAGUUGGAGAGUGCUGUGAGCUGUGACUUCACAGCACUCUACCACGGGCAAUAAAGUGAGACUCUGUCUCUA